rnacentral:rRNA from 1 species
GAUGAACGCUGGCGGCGUGCCUAAUACAUGCAAGUCGAGCGAACAGAUGAGGAGCUUGCUCCUCUUACGUUAGCGGCGGACGGGUGAGUAACACGUGGAUAACCUACCUAUAAGACUUGGAUAACUUCGGGAAACCGGAGCUAAUACCGGAUAAUAUAUUGAACCGCAUGGUUCAAUAGUGAAAGACGGUUUUGCUGUCACUUAUAGAUGGAUCCGCGCCGCAUUAGCUAGUUGGUAAGGUAACGGCUUACCAAGGCAACGAUGCGUAGCCGACCUGAGAGGGUGAUCGGCCACACUGGAACUGAGACACGGUCCAGACGCCUACGGGAGGCAGCAGUAGGGAAUCUUCCGCAAUGGGCGAAAGAAUGACGGAGCAACGCCGCGUGAGUGAUGAAGGUCUUCGGAUCGUAAAACUCUGUUAUUAGGGAAGAACAAAUGUGUAAGUAACUAUGCACGUCUUGACGGUACAUAAUCAGAAAGCCACGGCUAACUACGUG